AUCCAGCUUAUGAGUCUCAAAUAAAACGAAACGCAUGUCCUGGAU
rnacentral:hammerhead_ribozyme from 1 species